GCACUUGGAGAUGUAUAGCUAAAGCUAACUGUAUUUUGAAAAAAGGACAGAUUCGAUUUAUUCGUAUAAAGUUCUAGGUAGAAUUAUGAUAAUGACAUUUUCUAUCUAUAAGUCUUGACCAACAUGCGUGCCAGCAGUCGCGGCAAGACGCUAAAGACUAGUGUUAUUCAUCUUUAAUAGGUUUAUAGGGUACCUAGACGGGAAAUCAAGCCUUAACCGGUACUAAUUUAACUAGAGUUAGAUGUAAGGGUGCAUUAACGUACUAUUGAGUGUAGAGAUGAAAUUCUUUGAUACCAGAUGAUUGGCACGGGUUUAGGCGAAAGCAUCACCUUAUGUAAUAACUGACGUUGAGGGACGAAGGCUUUGUAUCGCUAAAGGGAUUAGGUACCCCAGUAGUCUAAGCAGAAAAUGAUGAGUGUCAUAGGUUAAAUAAUAUUUAAUCUAUAAAUGAAAGUGUAAGCAUUCCACCUCAAGAGUAAUUUGGCAACAUUGGAAUUGAAAUCAUUAGACCGUUUCUGAAACCAGUAGUGAAGUAUGUUGUUUAAUUAGAUGAUACACAAAGAACCUUACCACAAUAUGAAUAUUUUACAAGCGUUGCACGGCUGUCUUCGGUUAAUGUCGUGAGAUUCUGGUUAGUUCCAUUAAAUUAACGUAAACCCUUACUUUAUUUUAUAUUAUAUAAAGUAGUUCGCCGCUAGAUUGGUUAGAUAAAUGGGAGUAAGACAAGUCAUCAUGACCUUAAAAUUGU
rnacentral:rRNA from 1 species